CAGCCGCCGCGGUAAUACCAACCCCGCGAGUGGUCGGGACGUUUAUUGGGCCUAAAGCGUCCGUAGCCGGCCCGGUAAGUCCCUCCUUAAAGCCCACGGCUCAACCGUGGGAGCGGAGGGAUACUGCCGGGCUAGGGGGCGGGAGAGGCCGGGGGUACUCCUGGGGUAGGGGCGAAAUCCUAUAAUCCCAGGAGGACCACCAGUGGCGAAGGCGCCCGGCUAGCACGCGCCCGACGGUGAGGGACGAAAGCUGGGGGAGCAAAGGGGAUUAGAUACCCGGGUAGUCCCGGCUGUAAACGAUGCGGGCUAGCUGUUGGGUGGGCUGAGAGCCCACCCAGUGGCGCAGGGAAGCCGUUAAGCCCGCCGCCUGGGGAGUACGGCCGCAAGGCUGAAACUUAAAGGAAUUGGCGGG
rnacentral:rRNA from 1 species